rnacentral:rRNA from 1 species
CGUGGGUAACCUGCCCAAGAGAUCGGGAUAACACCUGGAAACAGAUGCUAAUACCGGAUAACAACAGAUGAUGCCUAUCAACUGUUUAAAAGAUGGUUCUGCUAUCACUCUUGGAUGGACCUACGGUGCAUUAGCUAGUUGGUAGGGUAACGGCCUACCAAGGCGAUGAUGCAUAGCCGAGUUGAGAGACUGAUCGGCCACAUUGGGACUGAGACACGGCCCAAACUCCUACGGGAGGCAGCAGAC